rnacentral:misc_RNA from 1 species
AUUUCAUACGCAAUGGGAGCUUAUGCACAGCGCUGCAUGGUAAUAUUACUUCGAACUUUGUUUACUUGCUGGAUAGAAAUAAGGUUAAUAAUGUCAACAAGUUUAAUAGACGUGCCCUCGUACUGAUAUGGGAUUGAAUUUAAUAAAUAUUAAAUUAAAUAUUUAUCUAUAAAUUUAUGUGUUGGUUAUAUAUAUUUUAAUUAAUUUAGAUAAAUAUUAAUAUAUUAAACUCAUUCUCUUUCGAAAUAAAAGAUGAUGCUUGUUGCUUGAUCAUACGUGUUAGAAUUUGUUUGCAUCUUUGUUUUAGAUUUUUUUUUGGGUGAAUUAUUUUAGGAUCCUUAAGUUUUCUCAUUAUUUCUUAGUUGAUUUUUGAAUUUUAAUAAUUAUAUUAAUUAGUCUCCAACUUUUUAUUUUGUCUACUAAAUAGUCCUUUAUUCUAAUUUUAAAAAUUAUUAUCACUCGUUAAUUGUGAAAAGGCUAAAUUACCCUUAUUCAAAUAGCUAAUAAAUUGUCCUUUAGUCUAAUAAAUAGCUUAUUACCCUUAGCAAAUAAAAUAGCUAAGUUUUAAGGGUCUUAUAUUUUCACUAACAUGAUUUAUCUAUGAUAAAGAUUUAUUUAAGAUGGUGUUUGUUUUAACUUAUGAGUUGGUAAAGCUCAAAAAAUAAAUUUACCCAUUUGUUUAUAAUAUUUUUUAAACUUAUAAGUCGAGCUUAUAUGCCAAAAGAAAUAAGCUGGGAUAGAUCAACUUUUUAUUUUGGUGCUUAUAAAUGAGUUUGACUAAGUGUUUUACUAUACUACUCUCAUUUAGUUUUAAAAUUUUACUACAUAUCUUAUUUAAUAUUCUUUUAGUAAUCUUAACAAUAAAUGUGCUUAUAAGUUAAUUUUUAUUAAAUCAACUACUUAUGAACACUGUAACUAAACAUGUAAUUUUUUAAAAUUUUAAAUGCUUAUAUGAUUGAAUUAGCUCAUAACUAAUUUUUGUAAGCUAAACUAAGUACCUAAGUUGUAAGGUUCAAAUUAGGUUUUUAAAGCUAAUUAUGAGUUGCCACAAUUCCAAGUUUGUCAUAAACCUGAUUUCACUAGAGAUCUUUUGGUUGGGAGUGGACUAGGUAUGGAAAGAAUGAUGAUUGUGAAUUCUUGAAACUUGUUGAUUGUAAUUUUGAUUUUUGCAAUUCUUGAAACUUGUUGGUUUGCAGUUGAUUUUGAUUCAUUAUUUUUUGGGGUUGUUGAUUUUGCUCGUGUUGAGUUGGGGAGAGAGAGAGAGAGAGAGU